UUAUAGUAUCUGCAAGAGCUUUAUCUGAGACAAAUGCAGCUACAUGAAGUCCCAACAGAUAUCUUGAGUUUGCAGCAACUACGGAUCCUAAACCUCAUCCAAAAUUCCAUGCAGUCGGUUCCAGUGUUCACAGUGCUCAUUGUAGGUUAUAUUCAACGUUGAUGGAGGAGAGGGUGGUUUUGAAAUGGAGGAAGAAUGAGGAUGUUUUGUGGUUUGGGUUGUCACUGUUUCUGCGUUUUCCUCUUGCUUCGUCAUUGAACGAUGAAGAAACUUGCAGGGGAAUAAACUAACUGGUCAAAUCCGGGAUGAGAUUGGUAACUGUGCUUCUCUUAUUUAUCUGAUGGCACCAUCUAGAAUUCAUGUUACUUGUGCACUAGUUUGUGACAAAACAUCAACAGGAAGGAUUCACAAAGGAGUGUGUUCAACAUGGAUGAAGUGAUGGUUGUAGUUGGGCACCCAUUUUUGUUCGGCAAUCAAACUUCAGACUUCCCGUUGAUACUAAAGUACCCAUUAUCAUGAUUGGUCCUGGAACUGGAUUUGCUCCUUUCAGGGAUUUCUUGCAGACUUCCAGGAAAGAUUAGCUCUUACAGAAGAUGGAGCAGAACUUGGACCCUCCGUAUUAUUCUUUGGAUGCAGAAAUAGUCAAGUUUCUCUAGAAAGAUCCAUAUGGUUGCGGUGGACAAGUAUUGGGCGCUUGCUGGUUUGUCUGCCUAAUUCUCAAAUGCUAAAUUGAUUUACUGAUAUUAUUGUAGGACUACAAUUACGAAGAUGAGUUGAACAACUUCGUAGAAAA